rnacentral:rRNA from 1 species
UACCCUUGGGUCUGGGAUAGCGGCGGGAAACUGCCGGUAAUACCAGAUGACAUCUACGGAUCAAAGGUUUACUGCCCGAGGAGAUGUCUGUGACCUAUCAGCUAGUUGGCGGUGUAAUGGACCACCAAGGCUAAGACGGGUAUGGGGUGUGAGAGCAUGCCCCCACUCACUGGGACUGAGACACUGCCCAGACACCUACGGGUGGCUGCAGUCGAGAAUCUUCGGCAAUGGGCGAACGCCUGACCGAGCGAUGCCGCGUGCGGGAUGAAGGCCUUCGGGUUGUAAACCGCUGUCGUAGGGGAGCAAGGGGAAACCUUGAGCGAUCCUAGGAGGAAGGACCGGCUAAGUUCGUGCCAGCAGCCGCGGUAAUACGAACGGUCCAAACGUUAUUCGGAAUCACUGGGCUUAAAGCGUCCGUAGGCGGUCCAGAAAGCAGGGUGUGAAAUCCCACGGCUCAACCGUGGAAUUGCGCUCUGAACUACUGGACUCGAGGGAGAUAGAGGUAAGCGGAACUGAUGGUGGAGCGGUGAAAUGCGUUGAUAUCAUCAGGAACACCGGAGGCGAAGGCGGCUUACUGGGUCUUUUCUGACGCUGAGGGACGAAAAGCUAGGGGAGCGAACGGGAUUAGAUACCCCGGUGGUCCUAGCCGUAAACGCUGA